GGCUUUGGGGAGCUCCGGAGCCACACACCGAGACAGUGAAUCUGUGAAGUCUGCAGAGGGUGAGCUCAGGAGGGCGCAGGACGAGUAACGCUGUAAGCAGGAAAUCUGACAAAACACCAUUCACGAGACCCUACCAGGGGAUGCCAGGGAUGGUGUCUGUCCUGCCAGCUCCAGGCAUGGGUGUCUGCAGCUCAGGAGAGAGCCAGGAAAUGCUGCUGAAGUAGCACCUUUGUCUUCAGUAGCUUUUUGCCAUGACACGGGCAUCUGCAGCCCUGCAGCAUCAUACAGAUGUGGAGAGGGACAGACAGUGCUUAACACUUCUUUUCCAGUUUCUGUAGCAAUUACAGCAUUACAUUGUCAAACCUGCAUAUUAAGCUAGAUUAAAAGUAUCCCUUAAUUUCCGUUUGUGAUUCUUAAGAUCUCUUUUUUUCCUGGUAGUACCUAGUGCUAUGUAUCAUUCUGUAUGUUCAAAGCAGUUUCUGCUUCCUGGGCUACAGCUGUUUGAGUGUGUCUCCAAAUCAAAUUGUAGGUUGUCAAGUCACCACCCAAAAUGAUGGGUAUGAAAUUAAAGAUUAACACAAUAAGAACUCCUCUGCUGGAAUUCUCUAGCAGAAGCAGAACAGACCCCAUUCCUCCCGGACAACAUUCUGCUGUUUUAAUUGUGAAGCAGUCCUGUUUCUUCAUGCAGUCGCCUGUGUCAUUCACUGUUCAUUUUCCAGUUUCAGCAGCAAUGGGAACAAGGGUCUGGCAGACAACAGACACUUUUGGUUCAGAAACUGAUUCA